UACAGAGGGGGCAAGCGUUGUUCGGAAUUACUGGGCGUAAAGGGCGCGUAGGCGGCCUUCUAAGUCGAACGUGAAAUCCCCGGGCUCAACCCGGGAACUGCGUCCGAUACUGGCAGGCUUGAAUCCGGGAGAGGGAAGCGGAAUUCCAGGUGUAGCGGUGAAAUGCGUAGAUAUCUGGAGGAACACCGGUGGCGAAGGCGGCAUCCUGGACCGAAACUGACGCUGAGGAGCGAAAGCCAGGGGAGCAAACGGG
rnacentral:rRNA from 1 species